CCUUUAAUGGAGAGUUUGAUCCUGGCUCAGGACGAACGCUGGCGGCGUGCCUAAUACAUGCAAGUCGAGCGGAGUUAUUUUGGAAGCUUGCUUCCGAAAUAACUUAGCGGCGGACGGGUGAGUAAUACGUAGGCAACCUGCCUGUAAGACUGGGAUAACUGCCGGAAACGGUAGCUAAUACCGGAUAAAUCAUUUCGCCGCAUG
rnacentral:rRNA from 1 species